AUUGAACGCUGGCGCAUGCCUUACACAUGCAAGUCGAACGGCAGCACGGGAGCAAUCCUGGUGGCGAGUGGCGAACGGGUGAGUAAUAUAUCGGAACGUGCCCAGUCGUGGGGGGUAACGUAGCGAAAGCUACGCUAAUACCGCAUACGAUCUAUGGAUGAAANCGGGGGAUCGCAAGACCUCGCGCGAUUGGAGCGGCCGAUAUCAGAUUAGGUAGUUGGUGAGGUAAAGGCUCACCAAGCCGACGAUCUGUAGCUGGUCUGAGAGGACGACCAGCCACACUGGGACUGAGACACGGCCCAGACUCCUACGGGAGGCAGCAGUGGGGAAUUUUGGACAAUGGGCGCAAGCCUGAUCCAGCAAUGCCGCGUGCAGGAUGAAGGCCUUCGGGUUGUAAACUGCUUUUGUACGGAACGAAACGGUGAGCUCUAAUACAGUUUGCUAAUGACGGUACCGUAAGAAUAAGCACCGGCUAACUACGUG
rnacentral:rRNA from 1 species